UGAGAGUGCCUAUAGGUCAUUCAACUUCCAAACUAGGGGUGAUGAUAGCUUACAACAAUACCCCACUCAAACGUCACGUGUUGUGCCUCAUUUCACACGAGAAUCAAAACGGCUGGGUUAUUUGAUUCCUGCACUAGGACCCGGAGGGAGCCUCGGUGUUGUGUGAGAGGACCUAGGCAGCUAAAUAGCAUGUGUCAUCUUCAUUAUCUAAAAUAAUAAGAAAAAAUACUUCACUCUGGUCAAGGGGCUUCUAAUUCUGAGCAGCCCCAGAGAUCUCCACGUGACAGGAGCAGCUAUAUGAGAAAGCAACCCAAGCAUCAGGACCAGUAGUAACCUACCACUUCACCUCCGCUCGAAGCGCAGAUGCAGACAAUCUAGAGGAGAAUCUACUGGCUUUAUAUCCUUUGCUUUAAACCCCAAGGUAAAACAAGCCGUCUGAAUGGUGUAGACAAGUUUGUUGAAUUGAAGAAGGACACGCUUUCACCGGGGAAGCAGGUAUUAUCGGAAUAAAACUCGCGUGCAUCUCAGGGAGAAGGGAGAUCACUCGGACCUCUGUUCUCUUCAGAAUAACUUUUCAUACAAGAGGUGAUGCUGUAUGCUCCAAAUCCACUGUGGCUUUCUGAAGUGGAUUUAGACUGUCACAUAUGCAGCACUCAAAGGGACACUUGUGAAUGAAGGGUGAACUUCAUAAACUUCAUAAAAUGAUAUUAUUCAGUGGUGAGAUAUUAUGUUGUCGCUGCUCAUUUAAUGUGUGACAAAUUGGAAUCAUUCAAGAAACUGGAGGACACGAACCAGAUAAUUCAUCCCAAACACCACUGGCACUUCUUAUUCGAGUCGGAACACCAGCCGUCCAGAUGCAGUUUCGACUUUUGUCAUUGGCUUUAAUCGUGUUGCACUGUAUGGAGUACAGCAACUGUCAAACGCAGUCAAAUCGCUGGAGGAGGAACAAAAGAGCUAGCUAUGGAGUGUACCCCAUCUGCAAGGGCUGCUCGGUGUGCUCCAAGGACAAUGGCUGCGUGAACUGCCAGCCCAAGCUCUUCCUGUUCCUGCGGAGGGAGAGGAUGAGACAGUACGGCGAGUGUCUCCACGCAUGUCCGACGGGAUACUUUGGCAUUCGAGCUCCUGAGAUCAACACGUG